rnacentral:pre_miRNA from 14 species
AUCUGUGCCCCCUGGCUACAAGGACUGAAAGACCCCUGGAGCAGGGAGACCCUCACUCCAGUCUCGGGAUGAAGCAACCCCCCAAGAACUCACGAAAAACC